rnacentral:tRNA from 1 species
GCGUUCGUGGCCGAACGGCUAUCGUGUUUGGCUCGCAACCAAAGGGCCGAGUUUCGAUUCCUGGGAGCGAACGCA